UACAGAGGGUGCAAGCGUUGUUCGGAAUUAUUGGGCGUAAAGGGCGCGUAGGCGGCGGAGUAAGUUGGGUGUGAAAUCCCGGGGCUUAACCUCGGAAUUGCAUUCAAUACUGCUUCGCUUGAGUACUGGAGAGGAGGCUGGAAUUUACGGUGUAGCAGUGAAAUGCGUAGAUAUCGUAAGGAAGGCCGGUGGCGAAAGCGAGCCUCUGGACAGUUACUGACGCUGAUGCACGAAGGCCAGGGGAGCAAACGGG
rnacentral:rRNA from 1 species